rnacentral:rRNA from 1 species
GACAGAGGUCCCGAGCGUUGUUCGGAUUCAUUGGGCGUAAAGGGUGCGUAGGUGGCGCCGUAAGUCGGGUGUGAAAUUUCGGAGCUUAACUCCGAAACUGCAUUCGAUACUGCGGUGCUUGAGGACUGGAGAGGAGACUGGAAUUCAUGGUGUAGCAGUGAAAUGCGUAGAGAUCAUGAGGAAGACCAGUGGCGAAGGCGGGUCUCUGGACAGUUCCUGACACUGAGGCACGAAGGCCAGGGGAGCAAACGGG